UAGGGAAUCUUCGGCAAUGGACGGAAGUCUGACCGAGCAACGCCGCGUGAGUGAAGAAGGUUUUCGGAUCGUAAAGCUCUGUUGUAAGAGAAGAACGAGUGUGAGAGUGGAAAGUUCACACUGUGACGGUAUCUUACCAGAAAGGGACGGCUAACUACGUGCCAGCAGCCGCGGUAAUACGUAGGUCCCGAGCGUUGUCCGGAUUUAUUGGGCGUAAAGCGAGCGCAGGCGGUUAGAUAAGUCUGAAGUUAAAGGCUGUGGCUUAACCAUAGUAGGCUUUGGAAACUGUUUAACUUGAGUGCAAGAGGGGAGAGUGGAAUUCCAUGUGUAGCGGUGAAGUGCGUAGAUAUAUGGAGGAACACCGGUGGCGAAAGCGGCUCUCUGGCUUGUAACUGACGCUGAGGCUCGAAAGCGUGGGGAGCAAACAGGAUUAGAUACCCUGGUAGUCCACGCUGUAAACGAUGAGUGCUAGGUGUUAGACCCUUUCCGGGGUUUAGUGCCGUAGCUAACGCAUUAAGCACUCCGCCUGGGGAGUACGACCGCAAGGUUG
rnacentral:rRNA from 1 species